UACAGAGGGUGCAAGCGUUGUUCGGAAUUAUUGGGCGUAAAGGGCGCGUAGGCGGCCGCGUAUGUCCGGUGUGAAAGCCCACCUCUUAAAGGUGGAAUUGCAUCGGAAACUACGUGGCUGGAGUGUCGGAGAGGAUGGUGGAAUUCCUGGUGUAGAGGUGAAAUUCGUAGAUAUCAGGAGGAACACCGGUGGCGAAGGCGGCCAUCUGGACGACUACUGACGCUGAGGCGCGAAAGCGUGGGGAGCAAACAGG
rnacentral:rRNA from 1 species